AUUGAACGCUGGCGGCAUGCUUUACACAUGCAAGUCGAACGGGGUGAGGAGCUUGCUCCUCAUCUAGUGGCGAACGGGUGAGUAAUACAUCGGAACGUACCGUGUAGUGGGGGAUAACGUAGCGAAAGUUACGCUAAUACCGCAUACGAUCCACGGAUGAGAGCAGGGGACCUUCGGGCCUUGUGCUAUACGAGCGGCCGAUGUCUGAUUAGCUAGUUGGUGGGGUAAAGGCCCACCAAGGCAACGAUCAGUAGCGGGUCUGAGAGGAUGAUCCGCCACACUGGGACUGAGACACGGCCCAGACUCCUACGGGAGCAGCAGUGGGAAUUUGGACAAUGGGCGCAAGCCUGAUCCAGCCAUGCCGCGUGUCUGAAGAAGGCCUCGGGUU
rnacentral:rRNA from 1 species